rnacentral:rRNA from 1 species
GACGGAGGAUGCAAGCGUUAUCCGGAAUGAUUGGGCGUAAAGCGUCUGCAGGUGGCAGUUCAAGUCUGCUGUCAAAGACCGGGGCUUAACUUCGGAAAGGCAGUGGAAACUGAACAGCUAGAGUAUGGUAGGGGCAGAGGGAAUUCCCGGUGUAGCGGUGAAAUGCGCAGAGAUCGGGAGGAACACCCGUAGCGAAGGCGGCACUCUGGGCCGGUACUGACGCUGAGGAGCGAAAGCGUGGGGAGCAAACAGG